AACAUGUCAGCCGGCAGUGGAGCGUGAAGCUAAAAGAACACAUUUAAACUGCACACACAGGAAGCAGAGAUAUAAAACUGGAUGUGGGGAACUAAUCACUAACUUCCCUGAGAAUGAAGCAGGAUCCGAAGCUUUCGGCACCCUGACCCGAGUCAGCAGUCCAUCUUGUUUUUCCUUGCUGUGUUAUAAGAGAAGAACAGUGCAUCCGGAGUUUGCCUGCCACCGCCUCUUUCUUCAGAUCUCCAUGAGAAGUGGGAUCUACUGUCUUUAAGAAAAUUCUCUGGAAAUGCCCAGUCUUUGCCAAAGCUAAUUCACAGGCUUCGCUUC
rnacentral:lncRNA from 1 species